rnacentral:rRNA from 1 species
UACGUAGGUGGCAAGCGUUGUCCGGAUUUACUGGGCGUAAAGAGCGCGCAGGCGGUCGUAUAAGUCGAAUGUGAAAGCCCCCGGCUCAACUGGGGAGGGUCAUUCGAUACUGUUCGACUCGAAGGCAGGAGAGGGAAGUGGAAUUCCGGGGUGUAGUGGUGAAAUGGCGUAGAUAUCUGGAGGAAUACCGGUGGCGAAGGCGGCAUCCUGGACCGGCAUUGACGCGUGAGGAGCGAAAGCUAGGGGGAGCAAACGGGG